rnacentral:ncRNA from 1 species
CCGAGUCCCGACGCACUCCCCCCGGUGCCGGGACUCUCCCGAGCCGGGCCUCGGCGCCCUUCCCCCCUGGGUGCCGGGGCCCGGCUCCUUU